rnacentral:lncRNA from 1 species
GAAGCUCGCUACUCAAUGUUUUCUCCUGCUAAUCUGGCAGUUGUUAUUCUAUACACUGUAAAUUAUAUAUACACAUUUUUGUAGUUAUGUUAGAAAUAUACAAUCUUCAAGCGAUUGAUUAUACAUCAAUGUCAUGUCUCUUUCUCUCUAUAUGUAUUAUAUAUGGAGCGUACAUGAAUACUGCCAUAAACUGUGCAGUAGGACUAUAAUUCAAAUACCUGAAUGGAGUCCAAAUUUUAACAGGUUAUGCCUAUGACUUUCAGCAUUGUCUAAAUCUUAUGUCAGGUUAAGUUUUAUCCUGAAAAUAACUCAAAAUAUCAUUGAAAUGAUUCUCCUUAAACUAGAGGAGAAGCAGAUAAAACUAAUAGCAGAUCCUUUACAUACUUCCAUUGCAUAAUUAUUGAAAUGAUCAAACCAAGGAGCGAAAGAGAAAAUUCUAUGACUCCUGAACCAAUAUUAAAGUGUAAGAAGCCACUUAUCUACAUUUGGAAAAAAGUACUUCUUCCUUAUUCUUCUUAUCCAUCAUUCUUACACAACUAUAAUUUAUUAGAUAAAACUGUGAAUGAUAUCUUUUUCUAUUUGGUUCAUAAUCAACUAGCUAUGGGGCCACCACAGGUUUUCUGAAUUUGUUCUUACAAUUAUUGGAAGUAUUAGACCUAAAUCCUAAUCAAGAAGGUUUCUUAAAACUGUAGACAAAAUUCUUUUUGGACAGAGCAGGUUCGUGAAGGUAAACGGUAAGCAAAAGUUUUUAAUUCUUGUUUGUGAAUGUAAGUAGAAGCGGAUGAUUUAAUAAAAAUCUUUAAGUUUCCACAUAUGAGAUACAUUAUAAUAGUUCUACAUGUGAGAUAACACUCAAUUUUUGAUGUAUUACAUUUUCUUAGUGCCAACAGUAGACUGCAUUUUGAGAGUUGACUUCAAACAUUAAAAAGAACUUGAAAUGCAUAACUUGAUAGCUAGUCGUAUUAUGUUUAUCCGCUAACUUGAUCACGCUAUUUCAUUUUUUGACUGGAUCAUCACAUUUACCUAUUUAUACUACAGUAUAAACUAUUUACCACGUAGAGAGGUUAUAAAUUAAUUACAUUAUCAUAUUUAUAUACAAAAUAAUGUAUUAGAAUCUUACCCAUUUUCUCUCCUUCUUCUUCUUCUUCUUUCUCCAAAUUCAAACCUCUUCAAAUUCAUUGACGAUCCAUAAAAUUCUUUCACCAUCAACUCUGCACCAGUCAGUUUCACUCAGCAUCUAAUUUCUCUAAAAAAACAUAGCAAUAACAAAAAAUAAAAAGCAACAAAGUUUGAAGGAAAAGAAUGAAUGAACAGACCUGCGAAAGAAAUAAACCUCUUAACGGAUUGAAAGGACUCUGGUAAACCCACCGAUGUUAUAGAGAAGAAUUUGACAACUAAUAAAAAUCUUCGUUGACAGCCACUAAAUAUUUUGAGAGAAUUUGGUGAAGAUCCG